UCUGAACUUGUUGAUCUGCAGGCCGGAACAAGUGGCUCCCAACGUGGGGCUCCUGGCACGGAGAAGUUAACGAGGGAGCCGUUCGAGAGACAGCCGGCUUAAACCGAAAGUGAAAGCAAAUUGAACCAGAGACCUCGGCCGAGGAAUGAGUAAACUAAAUCAAGGAUUAAAGCUUAAAGCAACAGGACAUUAAAUCAAGUGCCGAGACCUGCGCAGACGACUACCCGACGUCCUGCCCGAGUCACGGUGACACAUCUCCUUGGAGCCUUAUGCUGCUUAACCAGCCUUCUUGAGCCACACCACACCCAUGGUGGAUUUUGACCCCUGCCAAACAGACUGCAACUGCUGACAGCCAUGCACAGAACCCCAUGACUGCGGAAGAGGCUCUUCUCGGUCUGGAGGAACAUACGCCAGCCAAAUAGACUGCAUCCAGUGUUAUUCAAGGCAUGCUCCAAGACACAGAAGAAUGACUUCAUACAGAGACACCAACAAAUGGCUGUCAACCCCUUCUCCUUGAUUUGGGGGGGGGGGAGUUUUUCCCUUACCUAAUGCCCCUUUUGGGUCCCCUAGCUGACCUAUUGUUUCUCAUUUCUGUGAGUCUUGUAUUUUUCAGAGGAUUAUGAUGUUCAUUAAUAACCGGAUAGACGCAUUUAUGGCAAA